rnacentral:rRNA from 1 species
AUACGGAGGGUGCAAGCGUUAAUCGGAAUUACUGGGCGUAAAGCGUACGUAGGCGGUUCGUUAAGUUAGAUGUGAAAGCCCCGGGCUUAACCUGGGAACUGCAUUUAAAACUGGCGAACUAGAGUUGAGUAGAGGGGAGUGGAAUUUCAGGUGUAGCGGUGAAAUGCGUAGAGAUCUGAAGGAACACCAGUGGCGAGGGCGACUCCCUGGACUCGAACUGACGCUGAGGUACGAAAGCGUGGGUAGCAAACGGGAUUAGAAACCCUAGUAGUCC